rnacentral:rRNA from 1 species
GGCGAACGGGUGAGUAAUGCAUCGGAACGUAUCCUGUAAUGGGGGAUAACGCAUCGAAAGGUGUGCUAAUACCGCAUACGCCCUGAGGGGGAAAGUGGGGGACCGCAAGGCCUCACGUUAUAGGAGCGGCCGAUGUCCGAUUAGCUAGUUGGUGGGGUAAAGGCUUACCAAGGCGAUGAUCGGUAGCUGGUCUGAGAGGAUGAUCAGCCACACUGGGACUGAGACACGGCCCAGACUCCUACGGGAGGCAGCAGUGGGGAAUUUUGGACAAUGGGGGCAACCCUGAUCCAGCCAUGCCGCGUGAGUGAAGAAGGCCUUCGGGUUGUAAAGCUCUUUCGGCCGGAGCGAAAUCGCACGGGUUAAUACCUUGUGUGGAUGACGGUACCGGAAGAAGAAGCACCGGCUAACUACGUGCCAGCAGCCGCGGUAAUACGUAGGGUGCGAGCGUUAAUCGGAAUUACUGGGCGUAAAGCGUGCGCAGGCGGUUUUGUAAGUCAGAUGUGAAAGCCCCGGGCUUAACCUGGGAACUGCGUUUGAAACUACAAGGCUAGAGUGCAGCAGAGGGGGGUGGAAUUCC